AUGGCUAAUGAGGUGAUCCGUCUGCUUGAUCAAGCACGGGAUAAUCGACCCUUAUCGGAAGCUGAGUUCUGGCUUAGAAGCCAAUUGAAGUGGAAAGUUCUGGGGCUGGCAUCAUUGCAGUGCACUAUCGCUAGACAACACUCAAGGAUUCAAUGGUUGAGAGAGGGCGAGGCCAACACUGAAUUCUUCCAAUCUUUCGCUUCGGCAAGGAGAAGGAACGAUCAGAUUUUUAGGCUCAAGGCGGCAAAGGUGGAAGCCACGACAUCGGACGAGAUGGACAUCCUGGCGGUUGGUCACUUUGUUGACCUCCUUGGCACGCCAAGGGUGAGGGAGCACUGCCUUGACUUGCAUGCUCUUGAUCUGCCUAGACUAAAUUUGGAUUCUCUGGAGGGCAAUUUUUCUGCCGACGAUGUGUGGUCGGUGAUCAAAGAGCUCUCGCCUGAUUAA
rnacentral:rRNA from 1 species